GUCCACGCCGUAAACUAUGAGGGCUAGUUGUCGGCAGGCUUGCUUGUCGGUGACGCAGCUAACGCAGUAAGCCCUCCGCCUGGGGAGUACGGUCGCAAGAUUAAAACUCAAAGGAAUUGACGGGGGCCCCGCACAAGCGGUGGAGCAUGUGGUUUAAUUCGAAGCAACGCGAAGAACCUUACCAGCCCUUGACAUCCCGGGACGGUUUCCAGAGAUGGAUUCCUCCUAGCAAUAGGUCCGGAGACAGGUGUUGCAUGGCUGUCGU
rnacentral:rRNA from 1 species